rnacentral:lncRNA from 1 species
UUAUGUAUUAAUGUGAUUGACUUAAAGGAUGCCUAAUAUCUGGUAAAUUGUUGUUUCUGGGUAUGUCCAUGAAGAUGUCCCUGGAAGAGACUAGCAUUUGAAUCAGCAGACUGAUGAAGACCAUCCUAAACAAUGCAGACGGAGAUCACAGAGAAGCAGGCAGAGAGAGGAGGAAGCAGGCUCUCUGCUGAGCAGAGAGCCCGAAGUGGGGCUCGAUCCCAGGACUUUGGGAUCAUGCCCCGAGCUGAAGGCAGAGGCUUUAACCCACUGAGCCACUCAGGUGCCCCAAAACAUUGUUCCUUUGAUGACAACUUG